rnacentral:rRNA from 1 species
UGGGGAAUCUUGCACAAUGGGGGCAACCCUGAUGCAGCGACGCCGCGUGAGCGAUGAAGCCCUUCGGGGCGUAAAGCUCUUUCGACCGGAACGAUAAUGACGGUACCGGGAGAAGAAGCUGCGGCUAACUACGUGCCAGCAGCCGCGGUAAUACGUAGGCAGCAAGCGUUGUUCGGAGUUACUGGGCGUAACGAGUGCGUAGGCGGUUUUCUAAGUUCGGUGUGAAAUCUCCCGGCUUAACUGGGAGGGUGCGCCGAAGACUGGGAGGGUGGAGUGUGGGAAAGGCCGGCGGAAUUCGAGGUGUGGCGGUGAAAGGCGUAGAUAGCAGGAGGAACACCGGCGGUAGAGACGGCUUGCUAGACCAU